rnacentral:sRNA from 1 species
GCUCUAAUUGCAAUACAGACUACUUUUGUGUUUAUAUAUAAGGUUACAAAGUUCUGAUCCGCUAGUGAUUUGGUGCAGUUAGGAUUAUCUAGUUCAAGUAUAAAGAAUUGAUCUAAUGAAAGAGAGUUGGACACAGAGAUCUUAUUUCAUUUAGGUAAACCUGAACACUACAGGACAUGGGAGGAAGCUCAAAAAACGGCUCAGGCUUUGAAGUUUAUCAGAUCGUUUUCUUCCCUACCAAGACUUUAUCAAGAACGUUUGGCAAUGAUAGCCUGGUA